rnacentral:rRNA from 1 species
GACGAACGCUGGCGGCAUGCCUAAUACAUGCAAGUCGAGCGAACAGAUGAAGUGCUUGCACUUCUGACGUUAGCGGCGAACAGGUGAGUAACACGUAAGGAAUCUACCUAUAAGCGGGGGAUAACAUUCGGAAACGGGUGCUAAUACCGCAUAAUAUCUUCUUCCGCAUGGAAGAAGAUUGAAAGACGGCUCUGCUGUCACUUAUAGAUGACCUUGCGGUGCAUUAGUUAGUUGGUGGGGUAACGGCCUACCAAGACGAUGAUGCAUAGCCGACGUGAGAGGGUGAUCGGCCACAUUGGGACUGAGACACGGCCCAAACUCCUACGGGAGGCAGCAGUAGGGAAUCUUCCGCAAUGGGCGAAAGCCUGACGGAGCAAUGCCGCGUGAGUGAAGAAGGCCUUCGGGUCGUAAAACUCUGUUAUAAGAGAAGAACAAAUUGUAGAGUAACUGCUACAGUCUUGACGGUAUCUUAUCAGAAAGCCACGGCUAACUACGUGCCAGCCGCCGCGGUAA